rnacentral:rRNA from 1 species
CGGCCCAGACUCCUACGGGAGGCAGCAGUAGGGAAUCUUCCGCAUGGACGAAAGUCUGACGGAGCAACGCCGCGUGAGUGAUGAAGGUUUUCGGAUCGUAAAGCUCUGUUGUUAGGGAAGAACAAGUGCCGUUCAAAUAGGGCGGCACCUUGACGGUACCUAACCAGAAAGCCACGGCUAACUACGUGCCAGCAGCCGCGGUAAUACGUAGGUGGCAAGCGUUGUCCGGAAUUAUUGGGCGUAAAGGGCUCGCAGGCGGUUUCUUAAGUCUGAUGUGAAAGCCCCCGGCUCAACCGGGGAGGGUCAUUGGAAACUGGGGAACUUGAGUGCAGAAGAGGAGAGUGGAAUUCCACGUGUAGCGGUGAAAUGCGUAGAGAUGUGGAGGAACACCAGUGGCGAAGGCGACUCUCUGGUCUGUAACUGACGCUGAGGAGCGAAAGCGUGGGGAGCGAACAGGAUUAGAUACCCUGGUAGUCCACGCCGUAAACGAUGAGUGCUAAGUGUUAGGGGGUUUCCGCCCCUUAGUGCUGCAGCUAACGCAUUAAGCACUCCGCCUGGGGAGUACGGUCGCAAGACUGAAACUCAAAGGAAUUGACGGGGGCCCGCACAAGCGGUGGAGCAUGUGGUUUAAUUCGAAGCAACGCGAAGAACCUUACCAGGUCUUGACAUCCUCUGACAAUCCUAGAGAUAGGACGUCCCCUUCGGGGGCAGAGUGACAGGUGGUGCAUGGUUGUCGUCAGCUCGUGUCGUGAGAUGUUGGGUUAAGUCCCGCAACGAGCGCAACCCUUGAUCUUAGUUGCCAGCAUUCAGUUGGGCACUCUAAGGUGACUGCCGGUGACAAACCGGAGGAAGGUGGGGAUGACGUCAAAUCAUCAUGCCCCUUAUGACCUGGGCUACACACGUGCUACAAUGGACAGAACAAAGGGCAGCGAAACCGCGAGGUUAAGCCAAUCCCACAAAUCUGUUCUCAGUUCGGAUCGCAGUCUGCAACUCGACUGCGUGAAGCUGGAAUCGCUAGUAAUCGCGGAUCAGCAUGCCGCGGUGAAUACGUUCCCGGGCCUUGUACACACCGCCCGUCACACCACGAGAGUUUGUAACACCCGAAGUCGGUGAGGUAACCUUUAGGAGCCAGCCGCCGA